CUCAGGGAGGUAGUGACAAGAAAUAACAACACUGGAAAUUUUAUUUCUAGUGAUUGGAAUGAUGGGAAUUUAAACCCCUUUCAGAGUAACAAUUGGAGGGCAAGUCUGGUGCCAGCAGCCGCGGUAAUUCCAGCUCCAAUAGCGUAUAUUAAAGUUGUUGCAGUUAAAAAGCUCGUAGUUGGAUGUCUGCUGGAAGCAAUCAGUCCGCCCUAUUUGUAGGGUGUGCACUUGAUGAAUUCUGGCAUCUAUGUCCCAAUAAUGUGGUGGUGUAUACCCUGUGUAUUACCCAUCUAUAUUGGGAUAAUACCGUUACUUUGAGAAAAUUAGAGUGUUUGAAGCAGGCUAAUUGCCUUGAAUACUGCAGCAUGGAAUAACAAUAUAGGAUUUCGGUUCUAUUUUGUUGGUUUCUAGGACUGAAAUAAUGAUUAAUAGGGACAGUUGGGGGCAUUCGUAUUUAACUGUCAGAGGUGAAAUUCUUAGAUUUGUUAAAGACGAACUACUGCGAAAGCAUUUGCCAAAGAUGUUUUCAUUAAUCAAGAACGAAAGUUAGGGGCUCGAAGACGAUCAGAUACCGUCGUAGUCUUAACCAUAAACUAUGCCGACUAGAGAUAGGAAAAUGUCAUUUUUCUGACUU
rnacentral:rRNA from 2 species